rnacentral:miRNA from 10 species
CAUAUGUAUUUAUAUGUAUGUAGAUGUAUGUGUGUAUGUAUAUAUAUAUAUACAUACACAUACACACACACACACACACACACACACACACAC